ACUUCUGCUCCAUGAGAUUUUAAAUAGCCGCAGUACUCUGACUGUGCAAAGGUAGCAUAAUCAAUUGGCUUUUAAUUAGAGUCUGGUAUGAAUGAACGUAUGGGUUACAGCUGUCUUAGGAUAUUAAUUUGAAUUUGGAUGUAAGUGCAAAUCCUUAUAUAAAUAAAAAAGACGAGAAGACCCUAGAAGCUUAUAUUAAUAUUUUGUUGGGGCGACAGAAUUACAUCUAACUAAUUCUUUAGGAACGGGACGUAGAACUGAUAGAAUAAGCUACUCUAGGGAUAACAGCAUAAUUUUUCUGCUUGUGACCUCGAUGUUGGACUAGGUAAGUUAUCCUUUAGAAGAGGGUAUGGUAGCUCUGUUCGAGCAAUUUCGCAACCU
rnacentral:rRNA from 1 species